AGAGUUUGAUCCUGGCUCAGAAUGAACGCUGGCGGCAUGGAUUAGGCAUGCAAGUCGAACGUGAAGCUCAAGCUUGCUUGAGUGGAAAGUGGCGAAAGGGUGAGUAACACGUGAGCAACCUGCCCCCGACUCCGGAAUAGCCCCGGGAAACUGGGAUUAAUGCCGGAUGUGGUCCGAGGACUGUUAUGGUUCUCCCACCAAAGAUUAAGUUCGGUCGGGGAUGGGCUCGCGUCCCAUUAGCUUGUUGGUGAGGUAACGGCUCACCAAGGCCGAGACGGGUAGGUGGUCUGAGAGGAUGGUCACCCACACUGGGACUGAGACACUGCCCAGACUCCUACGGGAGGCUGCAGUCGAGAAUCUUCCGCAAUGGGCGCAAGCCUGACGGAGCAAUGCCGCGUGAGGGAUGAAGGCCUUCGGGUUGUAAACCUCUGUCACCCGGGACGAAGAUCUGACGGUACCGGGAGAGGAAGCCACGGCUAACUACGUGCCAGCAGCCGCGGUAAUACGUAGGUGGCGAGCGUUAUUCGGAUUUACUGGGCGUAAAGGGUCCGUAGGGGGUCUGCCAAGUCCGACGUGAAAUUCCGCGGCUCAACCGCGGACGUGCAUUGGAUACUGGCGGGCUAGAGUACGCGAAGGGAAAGCGGAAUUCCUGGUGUAGCGGUGGAAUGCGUAGAUAUCAGGAAGAACACCAGCGGCGGAGGCGGCUUUCUGGCGCGUAACUGACCCUGAAGGACGAAAGCGUGGGUAGCGAACAGGAUUAGAUACCCUGGUAGUCCACGCCGUAAACGUUGUGCACUAGAUGUGGGGGGUACUUUGGUCCCUUCCGUGUCCAAGCUAACGCGUUAAGUGCACCGCCUGGGGACUACGGCUGCAAGGCUAAAACUCAAAGGAAUUGACGGGGGCCCGCACAAGCGGUGGAGCAUGUGGCUUAAUUCGAGGCAACGCGAAGAACCUUACCUGGGCUUGACAUAUUCCUGACCGCUCUGGAAACAGGGUUUUCUCUUCGGAGACAGGUUUACAGGUGCUGCAUGGCUGUCGUCAGCUCGUGCCGUGAGGUGUUCGGUUAAGUCCGGCAACGAGCGCAACCCGUGUCGUCAGUUACCAUCGGGUAAUGCCGGGGACUCUGGCGAGACUGCCCGUGUCAAGCGGGAGGAAGGCGCGGAUGACGUCAAGUCCGUAUGGCCCUUACGUCCAGGGCUGCACACGUGCUACAAUGGGCGGCACAGAGAGACGCAAAGCCGUGAGGUGGAGCCAAUCUUCAAAACCGUCCUCAGUUCGGAUUGGAGUCUGCAACUCGACUCCAUGAAGUCGGAAUCGCUAGUAAAGGCGCAUCAGCAACGGCGCCUUGAAUACGUUCCCGGGCCUUGUACACACCGCCCGUCACAUCAUGGAAGCCGGCUGCACCCGAAGUCCGUGGCCCAACCCUUCGGGGGGGGAGCGGCCGAAGGUGUGUCCGGUGACUGGGAUGAAGUCGUAACAAGGUA
rnacentral:rRNA from 1 species